rnacentral:rRNA from 1 species
UACGGGGGGAGCAAGCGUUGUUCGGAUUUACUGGGCGUAAAGGGCGCGUAGGCGGCGCAACAAGUCACUUGUGAAAUCUCCGGGCUUAACCCGGAGCGGCCAAGUGAUACUGUCGUGCUAGAGUGCGGAAGGGGUCUACUGGAAUUCUCGGUGUAGCGGUGAAAUGCGUAGAUAUCGAGAGGAACACCUGCGGCGAAGGCGGGUUGCUGGGCUGACACUGACGCUGACAGCGCGAAAGCUAGGGGAGCGAACGGG